GCAUGUAACUCCAUGGUAGAGCCUUUGCUUGGCGUGCCCGAGGUCCUGGGUUCAAUCCCCAGCACUGCA
rnacentral:tRNA from 1 species